UUCCAAACUUCAAAUGUGACAAAGGCUGGUAACACAGAGAGAGGCGCCAACAGGUCCCAUACCACAAAGGAAACAAAAGCAGUCACGCCCCCACAGGUCCUCCUUUCAGCACUGGCUUUGCUCAGCCGCCCUCUCUGAGCCCAGAGUCCUCAGGUGGCAGCUAAUUCUGCAGCAAACACUGUCUCUUACUCUGGUUGUGUGCCACCUGGGGGGCAGCUGGAAGCUGUCAGUGAAACUUCAGGAAAGAGAAUCUACAUCCUGCUCGGGACUCAGGCUAAACACAGUAUCACAUGGAGCAAGCAGUGAGUUCCUUGGCAUGGCCUUCACUUUGCAAAGAAAUGAAUGGAAUGUGGAAGAAGGCUGUCAAAGUGCUCUAAAGGCAAGAAGCAGCCUUCAUACCCCUUGACUGGUGGUCCAGUCAGACUGCCUGCUCCUGGGAUGCUGUGAUGAUGACUGUGUCUGGCCUGGAAUGUCAUAAAGCUCUUCUGGGCUCUCUGGACCCUUUGCUUACCACCUGCAAUGACAACAAGAGGCAUGCACUAUGGUAAACUCAAAGAUGGAGGCUGGUGGUACGAAACCACUACAGACCUGCAUCUUGUGCACCUGCGGAGGAAGCAGCAAGUUCCAUGAAGCGUUUCUUCACAGCAAACAGGGCAUUUGAAAUCACCAAGAAUACAAACCAAUGUUUACAGUUGUCAAACUCUCUCUUCUUUACCGUGACACAUGUCAAUGUCUUGAUUACUUGCAAUUUAU